rnacentral:tRNA from 1 species
GCCUGACUGGCUUAGUAGGUAGAGCAUGUGACUCUUGAUCUCGGGGUUUUGGGUUCAAGCCCUGCAUUGGGUA